AGCUUUGCGCAGUGGCAGUAUCGUAGCCAAUGAGGUUUAUCCGAGGCGCGAUUAUUGCUAAUUGAAAACUAAAACCUAUCUUCCUUCCACAGAAGUUUGAUCUGAUGAAUGUCUCUUCCCUUCGGGGGAGACUUUUCUCAUCCAUGUCGAUGG
rnacentral:snRNA from 2 species